GGGGAUCUGCCCGAUAGAGGGGGAUAACCACUGGAAACGGUGGCUAAUACCGCAUAACGUCGCAAGACCAAAGAGGGGGACCUUCGGGCCUCUCACUAUCGGAUGAACCCAGAUGGGAUUAGCUAGUAGGCGGGGUAAUGGCCCACCUAGGCGACGAUCCCUAGCUGGUCUGAGAGGAUGACCAGCCACACUGGAACUGAGACACGGUCCAGACUCCUACGGGAGGCAGCAGUGGGGAAUAUUGCACAAUGGGCGCAAGCCUGAUGCAGCCAUGCCGCGUGUAUGAAGAAGGCCUUCGGGUUGUAAAGUACUUUCAGCGGGGAGGAAGGCGACAGGGUUAAUAACCCUGUCGAUUGACGUUACCCGCAGAAGAAGCACCGGCUAACUCCGUGCCAGCAGCCGCGGUAAUACGGAGGGUGCAAGCGUUAAUCGGAAUUACUGGGCGUAAAGCGCACGCAGGCGGUCUGUUAAGUCAGAUGUGAAAUCCCCGGGCUUAACCUGGGAACUGCAUUUGAAACUGGCAGGCUUGAGUCUUGUAGAGGGGGGUAGAAUUCCAGGU
rnacentral:rRNA from 1 species